rnacentral:snRNA from 1 species
GGAUGUGAGGGCGAUCAGGCUGUGACAUCUGUCACCUCACUGAUUGCCAGGGUUGAUAACAGCUGAUGUGGCUGGCUAGGCGGGUGUCCCCUUCCUCCCUUACCGCUCCAUGUGUGUCCCUCCCAAAAGCUGCACGCUCGGUCGAAGAGGACAACCUUCCCCGCUAGAGGUGGACUAAUCUUCGGUCAAGGGUAUACGAGUAGCUGCGCUCCCCUGCUAGAACCUACAAACAAGCUCUCAAGAAAACUACCAGAAUCCUAUGGCUAGCAUCAUACUUAACGGUGAGAAACUAAACUAGAUUUCCUGC